GUUGAUUGACGUGCUUGCACUGAUUUCAACAUUGGAACGAGUGGCGAACUGGUGAGUAACACGUGGAAAACCUGCCCAGAAGCAGGGGAUAACACUUGGAAACAGGUGCUAAUACCGUAUAACAACAAAAACCGCAUGGUUUUUGUUUGAAAGGUGGCUUCGGCUAUCACUUCUGGAUGGUUCCGCGGCGCAUUAGCUUGUUGGUGGGGUAACGGCUCACCAAGGCGAUGAUGCGUAGCCGACCUGAGAGGGUAAUCGGCCACAUUGGGACUGAGACACGGCCCAGACUCCUACGGGAGGCAGCAGUAGGGAAUCUUCCACAAUGGACGCAAGUCUGAUGGAGCAAUGCCGCGUGAGUGAAGAAGGGUUUCGGCUCGUAAAACUCUGUUGUUGAAGAAGAACGGGUGUCAGAGUAACUGUUGACAUCGUGACGGUAUUCAACCAGAAAGCCACGGCUAACUACGUGCCAGCAGCCGCGGUAAUACGUAGGUGGCAAGCGUUGUCCGGAUUUAUUGGGCGUAAAGCGAGCGCAGGCGGUUUCUUAAGUCUGAUGUGAAAGCCUUCGGCUUAACCGAAGAAGUGCAUCGGAAACUGGGGGAACUUGAGUGCAGAAGAGGACAGUGGAACUCCAUGUGUAGCGGUGGAAUGCGUAGAUAUAUGGAAGAACACCAGUGGCGAAAGCGGCUGUCUAGUCUGCAACUGACGCUGAGGCUCGAAAGCAUGGGUAGCGAACAGGAUUAGAUACCCUGGUAGUCCAUG
rnacentral:rRNA from 2 species